UACGUAGGGGGCAAGCGUUGUCCGGAAUCAUUGGGCGUAAAGAGCUCGUAGGCGGUUUGUCGCGUCUGCUGUGAAAUCCCAGGGCUUAACCCUGGGCCUGCAGUGGGUACGGGCAAACUAGAGUGCGGUAGGGGAGAUCGGAAUUCCUGGUGUAGCGGUGAAAUGCGCAGAUAUCAGGAGGAACACCGGUGGCGAAGGCGGAUCUCUGGGCCGUAACUGACGCUGAGGAGCGAAAGCAUAGGUAGCGAACAGG
rnacentral:rRNA from 1 species